UCUCUUGAGUGGAUCCUGAGUACGACGGAGCACGUGAAAUUCCGUCGGAAUCUGGGAGGACCAUCUCCUAAGGCUAAAUACUCUCUAGUGACCGAUAGUGAACCAGUACCGUGAGGGAAAGGUGAAAAGCACCCCGGAAGGGGAGUGAAAUAGAACCUGAAACCGUGUGCUUACAAGUAGUCAGAGCCCGUUAAUGGGUGAUGGCGUGCCUUUUGUAGAAUGAACCGGCGAGUUACGAUUUGAUGCAAGGUUAAGCAGUAAAUGUGGAGCCGUAGCGAAAGCGAGUCUGAAUAGGGCGUUUAGUAUUUGGUCGUAGACCCGAAACCAGGUGAUCUACCCUUGGUCAGGUUGAAGUUCAGGUAACACUGAAUGGAGGACCGAACCGACUUACGUUGAAAAGUGAGCGGAUGAACUGAGGGUAGCGGAGAAAUUCCAAUCGAACCUGGAGAUAGCUGGUUCUCUCCGAAAUAGCUUUAGGGCUAGCCUCAAGUGAUGAUUAUUGGAGGUAGAGCACUGUUUGGACGAGGGGCCCCUCUCGGGUUACCGAAUUCAGACAAACUCCGAAUGCCAAUUAAUUUAACUUGGGAGUCAGAACAUGGGUGAUAAGGUCCGUGUUCGAAAGGGAAACAGCCCAGACCACCAGCUAAGGUCCCAAAAUAUAUGUUAAGUGGAAAAGGAUGUGGCGUUGCCCAGACAACUAGGAUGUUGGCUUAGAAGCAGCCAUCAUUUAAAGAGUGCGUAAUAGCUCACUAGUCGAGUGACACUGCGCCGAAAAUGUACCGGGGCUAAACAUAUUACCGAAGCUGUGGAUUGUCCUUUGGACAAUGGUAGGAGAGCGUUCUAAGGGCGUUGAAGCAUGAUCGUAAGGACAUGUGGAGCGCUUAGAAGUGAGAAUGCCGGUGUGAGUAGCGAAAGACGGGUGAGAAUCCCGUCCACCGAUUGACUAAGGUUUCCAGAGGAAGGCUCGUCCGCUCUGGGUUAGUCGGGUCCUAAGCUGAGGCCGACAGGCGUAGGCGAUGGAUAACAGGUUGAUAUUCCUGUACCACCUAUAAUCGUUUUAAUCGAUGGGGGGACGCAGUAGGAUAGGCGAAGCGUGCGAUUGGAUUGCACGUCUAAGCAGUAAGGCUGAGUAUUAGGCAAAUCCGGUACUCGUUAAGGCUGAGCUGUGAUGGGGAGAAGACAUUGUGUCUUCGAGUCGUUGAUUUCACACUGCCGAGAAAAGCCUCUAGAUAGAAAAUAGGUGCCCGUACCGCAAACCGACACAGGUAGUCAAGAUGAGAAUUCUAAGGUGAGCGAGCGAACUCUCGUUAAGGAACUCGGCAAAAUGACCCCGUAACUUCGGGAGAAGGGGUGCUCUUUAGGGUUAACGCCCAGAAGAGCCGCAGUGAAUAGGCCCAAGCGACUGUUUAUCAAAAACACAGGUCUCUGCUAAACCGUAAGGUGAUGUAUAGGGGCUGACGCCUGCCCGGUGCUGGAAGGUUAAGAGGAGUGGUUAGCUUCUGCGAAGCUACGAAUCGAAGCCCCAGUAAACGGCGGCCGUAACUAUAACGGUCCUAAGGUAGCGAAAUUCCUUGUCGGGUAAGUUCCGACCCGCACGAAAGGCGUAACGAUUUGGGCACUGUCUCAACGAGAGACUCGGUGAAAUCAUAGUACCUGUGAAGAUGCAGGUUACCCGCGACAGGACGGAAAGACCCCGUGGAGCUUUACUGUAGCCUGAUAUUGAAAUUCGGCACAGCUUGUACAGGAUAGGUAGGAGCCUUUGAAACGUGAGCGCUAGCUUACGUGGAGGCGCUGGUGGGAUACUACCCUAGCUGUGUUGGCUUUCUAACCCGCACCACUUAUCGUGGUGGGAGACAGUGUCAGGCGGGCAGUUUGACUGGGGCGGUCGCCUCCUAAAAGGUAACGGAGGCGCUCAAAGGUUCCCUCAGAAUGGUUGGAAAUCAUUCAUAGAGUGUAAAGGCAUAAGGGAGCUUGACUGCGAGACCUACAAGUCGAGCAGGGUCGAAAGACGGACUUAGUGAUCCGGUGGUUCCGCAUGGAAGGGCCAUCGCUCAACGGAUAAAAGCUACCCCGGGGAUAACAGGCUUAUCUCCCCCAAGAGUUCACAUCGACGGGGAGGUUUGGCACCUCGAUGUCGGCUCAUCGCAUCCUGGGGCUGUAGUCGGUCCCAAGGGUUGGGCUGUUCGCCCAUUAAAGCGGUACGCGAGCUGGGUUCAGAACGUCGUGAGACAGUUCGGUCCCUAUCCGUCGUGGGCGUAGGAAAUUUGAGAGGAGCUGUCCUUAGUACGAGAGGACCGGGAUGGACAUACCUCUGGUGUACCAGUUGUCGUGCCAACGGCAUAGCUGGGUAGCUAUGU
rnacentral:rRNA from 1 species